rnacentral:rRNA from 1 species
GCCGAUAACUGGGGUGAAGUCGUAACAAGGUAGCCGUAUCGGAAGGUGCGGCUGGAUCACCUCCUUUCUAAGGAA